rnacentral:lncRNA from 10 species
GGAUUUCUCUCUUGGAGCCUCCCUCCCUCUGUCUCUGUAUGGGGGAGCUGCUGCUUUCUCGCUUGCUUGUUAAACUUUCUGCUCCUUAAAACUACUCCAUGUGUGUCUGUGUUGUUUUAGCUAAAUCAGUGUGAGACCAAGGACCCUGGGGCUCCUCCAGUCAUUGCAGCUGUAUCACAACUACCCUGACAGAUUUCUUGCUCAGGGCAAGCCACCUGCCAUGUCUUGAGAACACUCAAGCAGCACAUGGCGAGGAAUGGAGAUGGACAGACAUGGGCCAGCAAGAAACAGGCUUGCCAACAACAGCUUGCGUGAUCCUGAAGACUGUUGCCCUGGCCAACAACUUAACUGCAACCUCAAGAGAUACCUACCCUGAGUCAGAACCACCCAGUCAAACUACCCCUGGCAUCUUAACUCAGAGUAACGGCCCCGUUGACUGGAGGAUGGCCAUUUGACAACACAUUAUUUCCUGAGGAAACUUUUGACUUCUGGUGACUUGGGCCCCAGGCAGGCUGGCUGAAUUUGCCAAGACCCGGCUUUGCCCUUGCAUGUGUGAAAAAUGGCCUCAAGUAUGACCCCAUGGCAAGAUGGAAAGAAACUGUGCUCUUGAAUAGCUUAGAGAUUCAGAGCCCCCCAACCAGCUUGAAACGCCCACCUCAAAACAAUGACAUGAGAAGAAACAAACCUCUAAUUUAAGCCACUGUCUUUUUAAGAGAUUGCCAAACAACCAGCAGCAGAUGGUCCUGUAUCUAAGUGCAAUGCUAAGUGGUGUGAGGGAUGGCAUGAUUGACCAUUUACUCAGAGGAGCAUAAAAGAAGGAAUUCUUGUUAAAAAUGCCUCUGUUGUAUCAAGUGGCUGUAAAACAGGCAAGAGAAUCUGGGAACUCUUAUAUCCAA